rnacentral:rRNA from 1 species
UUUCUAGUCCGGCAAUUGGAAUGGGAGUAAUUUAAACCAAUUCUCGAGGAGCCAUUGGAGGGCAAGUCUGGUGCCAGCAGCCGCGGUAAUUCCAGCUCCAAUAGCGUAUAUUAAAGUUGUUGCAGUUAAAAAGCUCGUAGUCUGACUUUUUCGGCUGGCGGUUUUCAGCGCGUCCGGUUUUUUCAUUAAGAUCGUUGCACGUGCGCCGCCUGGUCGAACGAGGGCACCUCUUCCCCCCUUCACCGGGGGCGGGGGGGUGUUUUUGUACUUUGGAGGAACGCUUACCGUGCUUUUAAUUAAGUGCGCGCGGGAUUCCGAUAGUUUACUUUGAGAAAAACAGAGUGUUCAAAGCAGGCGUUUAUUGCCUUUGAAUACAUUAGCAUGGGAUAAUGGAAUAGGACAUUGGUUCUAUUUUCUGAUUUGGUUCGGGGACCGAUGUAAUGAUUAAUAGGGACAGUUGGGGGCAUUCAUAUUCCAUGGCUAGAGGUGAAAUUCUUGGAUUCAUGGAAGAUGAACUGCUGCGAAAGCAUUUGUCAAAGAUGUUUUCAUUGAUCAAGAACGAAAGUUAGGGGAGCAAAGACGAUCAGAUACCGUCGUAGUCUUAACCAUAAACGACGCCGACUAGGGAUCGGUGAGAGUUAGUUUUGAUGACUUCAUCGGCACCUCAUGGGAAACCAAAGUCUUUGGGUUCCGGGGGGAGUAUGGUCGCAAGGCUGAAACUUAAAGGAAUUGACGGAAGGGCACCACCAGGAGUGGAGCCUGCGGCUUAAUUUGACCCAACACGGGAAAACUCACCAGGUCCAGACAUAGUAAGGACUGACAGAUUGAGAGCUCUUUCUUGAUUCUAUGAAAGGUGGCGCAUGGCCGUUCUUAGUUGGUGGAGUGAUUUGUCUGAUUAAUUUCGAUAACGAACGAGACCUUAACCUGCUAACUAGUCACGGCAAGUUUUUUACAAAGCUUGCCGGUUUUUUUGACUUCUUAGAGGGACAAUCUGUUUCCAGCAGAAGGAAGUGUGAGGCAAUAACAGGUCUGUGAUGCCCUUAGAUGUCCUGGGCUGCACGCGCGCUACACUGACUGGCUCAACAAGUUUAUCACCUUGGCAGAGAUGUCUGGGUAAUCUUUUCAAAGCCAGUCGUGAUGGGGAUAGAUGAUUGUAAUUAUUCGUCUUGAACGAGGAAUUCCUAGUAAGUGUGAGUCAUCAGCUCGCGCUGAUUGCGUCCCUGCCCUUUGUACACACCGCCCGUCGCUCCUACCGAUUGAAUGGUCCGGUGAGAACGUCGGAUCACGCGCGCGACGCUGGUUCGCCAGCGACAUGCGCGAGAGAAGUUGUUCAAACCUUACCAUUUAGAGGAAGGAGAAGUCGUAACAAGGU